rnacentral:tRNA from 1 species
AGGGUUGUAGUUAAUUAAUAACAUUUGAUUUGCAUUCAAAAAAAAUUGUAAUAUUUAUCAAUCUACCUUA